rnacentral:rRNA from 1 species
GACGAACGCUGGCGGCGUGCUUAACACAUGCAAGUCGAACGGAAAGGCCCUGCUGUUGUGGGGUGCUCGAGUGGCGAACGGGUGAGUAACACGUGAGUAACCUGCCCUUGACUUUGGGAUAACUUCAGGAAACUGGGGCUAAUACCGGAUAGGAGCUCCUGCUGCAUGGUGGGGGUUGGAAAGUUUCGGCGGUUGGGGAUGGACUCGCGGCUUAUCAGCUUGGUGGUGGGGUAGUGGCUUACCAAGGCUUUGACGGGUAGCCGGCCUGAGAGGGUGACCGGCCACAUUGGGACUGAGAUACGGCCCAGACUCCUACGGGAGGCAGCAGUGGGGAAUAGUGCACAAUGGGCGGAAGCCUGAUGCAGCAACGCCGCGUGCGGGAUGACGGCCUUCGUGUUGUAAACCGCUUUCGCCUGUGACGAAGCGUGAGUGACGGUAAUGGGUAAAGAAGCACCGGCUAACUACGUG